rnacentral:rRNA from 1 species
GACGAACGCUGGCGGCGUGCUUAACACAUGCAAGUCGAACGGAAAGGCCCUGCUUUUGUGGGGUGCUCGAGUGGCGAACGGGUGAGUAACACGUGAGUAACCUGCCCUUGACUUUGGGAUAACUUCAGGAAACUGGGGCUAAUACCGGAUAGGAGCUCCUGCUGCAUGGUGGGGGUUGGAAAGUUUCGGCGGUUGGGGAUGGACUCGCGGCUUAUCAGCUUGUUGGUGGGGUAGUGGCUUACCAAGGCUUUGACGGGUAGCCGGCCUGAGAGGGUGACCGGCCACAUGGGGACUGAGAAAGGGCCCAGACUCCUACGGGAGGAAGGAGUGGGGAAGAUUGCACAAUGGGCGGAAGCCUGAUGGAGGAACGCCGGGUGCGGGAUGACGGCCUUCGGGUUGUAAACCGCUUUCGCGUGUGACGAAGCGUGAGUGAGGGUAAUGGGUAAAGAAGCACCGGCUAACUACGU